rnacentral:lncRNA from 1 species
AUUCAUGGUGGCCAGCAUAAUGCAAUGAGCUUUCGUUGCAUCACGCUCGUGGGCCUAAAAAACGGCCAACUAUUCGGGAGUAGCGACUUUUGGAUUGAUCCUUUCAAGCUUCUCGUCGAAGACAUAUUCUUUGUCCUCGUAAUGAUCAAUCAUGCGAAUGUAUCUCAUCCAUUCGUUGAAAUUCGAUCCAUCAAAUGUCACCUUUUGACAUAGGCUCAUUAGCGAGAAUGAACUAGAAGUAGUGUUGUUUGCGUUUGCGUUAGACAUCUGAAAAUAGAAAGGAAUGCCGUACUCUAAAAGUGAAUAAUUUGAAGGUAAGUGAAUGAAUUCACUAAUUUUCACCACGAAAAACGAAAAAUAGCUUAAGUUUUAAAUGUAUUUGAAAACUUCUAGAUCUUUGAGAUUCAUUGAACUUUUCAAUGGCAUGUUUAAAUCUCGAUAUGCACUUCAAAUUUGCGACUGGGAUGCCGAGGAUCGCAAACAAGUUGUGAAUAACCAUGCGAAUAAACAUGGUGCACCCAAUGUCUCUAUCACCUAAUCAAUGUGCCGGUUAGCCACACACGCUCCAUUAAUCUAUGACAAACAUCGGGCCACCCUUUGCCACCAAUGUCAAUCCCAAAUUAAUGCGCCGGUUAACCAUGCAAACUCUAUUAACGCUUGAUAAGGGUACAAAGUGUAAUUCCAUGGAAUAACAUCAUUUUCACAUUUUACCCUAAAGUAACUAAGAUUGGGAAUUUGAAAAAAAAAACAUGUUAGUUACUUUGCAAUAUUCAUUAUACUUAUAAUGAGGUAAUAAGUUCCCUAUCCUAUCCGUUUGGCUAACGACCCUCCACCAAUCAAGCAAGCGGUGGGUGUGAGUGUACACCCGUUAAGCGCCAUUUUAUAGGCAGCAACCUUAUACCCACCUUAGAGAUCGGCUUCGUGAAUGAAGGCUACUAGCAAUAAGACAAGCUUAUUCUUGUAUAUAUAAAUCUUAUAAUAAAUAAAGUAUAAGGUUGAUUUUAAACUUGUAAAAAUCUAAGGGUUGAAAUUUAAAAUUUUUCAAUAAUUAACUUUUAAUCAAAGAAUUUAAAUUUCAAAACUUGAGGGUAAGUUUUGAACUUUUCAAAACACAAGGGAUUAAAUAACAAAUAAUAUAAAUCAAACAAUUUAUUUAGUGAUUAUCUAUAUUUGACCUAAUUCAAUUUAUUGCAAGAUAAGUUACCCAAUUAAUUCAAAUAAUCAAUUUAAUCAUAUAAGGAAUUUAUUAUCUUGUGUUUUGGCAAGGAUAAUAUUUCAAUAACAAUAAAAAUCGAAUCUUAUCAGUUAAAAACAUUUAAGGCAAUUAUGCUUCAGCAAAACAGCAAGAGAAUCCGAAAAUCCCUCUGUCUAACGCUCUGACUCACCGAGUCACUCACUGGACUUGCCGAGUCCAUGAAGUGACUCGUCGAGUCAGUUCGAACAGAGGGCCAGAAAAUGUUUUUCAGCAGAUAAUCAAUCAUAGCAUCACAUACAACAGAAACCAAUCAAGGCUCUGAUACCACUGAUGGGUUUUAAGAAUAAGAACAAUCAUAUGUGCUCAUACAAAACCUAAUGCUUGGAUCUCGGUUUCUCUAUUGUACAUGCAAUGAAUCCAAGACUUGCAAACCCUAAUCUAGCAUACAUAAUUUCGAAAUUAUCUAAUUACAUCAGAUCUAGAUGUUUACCUCUUCAAAUAGUGGCUUGAAUCCUCUUCUCUUGAGCUUAGAGUCACAAUUGUAACUCCUCUAGUGGAUCACAAACACCAUAAGCAAGAAGGCAACUUUGAGAGAGGAGGGAGGAUGCUAAUUUUUGUCCCUAGGGUUUCUCUUGGAAGCAAGUGGUCGAAAAUUGGAGCCUUGGGGUCUUAUUUAUAGUGGAGGCUGCUAGGGUUUCAGUCUAAACCCUAAUGGAUAAUUUAGCCACCAAGCAGCCCAAGGAACCUUUUGGAAUAAGGCCCUUGGACGAAAGUAUGAUGAUCUUUCAUCAUAAUUUCGUUCCCCCUAGUCCAUUAGGUUUCCCAGCCCAAAACUCAAUUAUCACACAUUUGACAGUUUAUGCCCCUUUAUUUAAUUAAUCUCUUUUAGUCACCAAAUUAUUUCCUAAUUAAUUUAUGACCAAUACUAAUUAAAUAAAUAUGAUUUCUCCUUUAAUAUAUUAUUCUUAUAAUAUAUUAAUCAACCAUAAUAUUCUCUCUCUCUCUCUCUCUCUCUCUCUCUCUUUCUCUCUCUCCCCUCAAAUUACUUUGUCAAGUUGCUUUGAUGAAAGCAACCCAAAAGGACCAUGCACAACCGGGUCAAGUACGUACCAAAUAUAGUUACAGACUUAGACACUAAUCCAACAUGAAAUUAUAUCACAAUUGAAUCCUUCAAGAACAUCUUAGUACAAUUGUAUGACUAAGAAGAGUAAUUGAACAUUGUUAGAAAAGAUUCGAUCAUAGAUGAGUCAUCCUUUGUUCCAGUCAAGAUUUAGAUUCAUACUCUAGUAAGUACAAAUGGUAUCUUGAAACUCAUUUUUAACUAAGAAGGUUGAAAACACCUUGAAAUGUUUGGAUUAAAGAUGUUUUCUUACUCUAGCACAUAUAGAAUUUGAUUUGUGAUGUUUUCGCUAAUCGGGAAACAAAAUAUAAACCGAGACCUAUUCUAUGAAGUGUUUUCUUGUUGAGAAUCCACACAAACUUUUGAUUUGUUUUAGCUCGUCAAGGAAUGUUCCUUGAGAGGAAACACAUAUGUAAAGAAGUCAGUGGGAGUCGUAUUGAUCUUGAGAGUUUCAAGAUUCAAUCGACAUUAAUCUUUUAGUUAUCACUAGCACGCAACCUGAGGUUGAUAACCUAUCAUGUUUAGUUGACACAUUCUUAUUUCUAUGCACUUCCAGUUGAUUUGGCAAUUCUUAUGAGUUCUAUGUUUCCAUUUAAUAGGAAAAGUAAAAAAAUGCACAUUGGUCAGUGAAAGUACAUUGAUCAAUAUGGGUGAGCUGCUAAUAACAUGGAAGCAUUGGUAAGCCCUUGAGCUACCAAAGGAAAAAAAUUAGAAUUAUGAAGUUCAGCCCAUAAAGGAAAGCUAAAUUUGAAUUUGGUUUUUUCAUAAACCUUAUCAUAUGAUUAUAGGAUGAAAAUGAUAGAUUCACAUGGAUGGGAAUGUAUUCAUAAUAAAAUAUAGGUGGCAAAGGUUUCACUCUAAUUCAUGAGAAUGAUUAUGAGGAAAUACUUUCACUGAUGGAUUUUAAAGAUUUGAUAAAGAUCAAUAUGGAUAUUGGCUAUGUUAAAUGCAUUCUCAAAUUCACAAUUUGAUUACGGAGUCUCUCUUCAUUUUUCAAAUUGUGAGGGAUGGCAAGUAAUUGUUUGAAUAUUCGAGAGAUAUAUCUAUCAGUCUUGAAGGGUUUAAACACACAUAUAUGUUAUCUAAUUAAGGUGUAUAAAUUGAAUAAGUCUAGAGAGACUUAUUAAUGCAUCGUGAAAUAGAAAUCUGUACUUUAGUAAGAAAAGUUAAGCGUAUUGAUUUCGCGAGGUAUAGUUGAUUGUUUUGGUACAUGUCAAAGCUAGUGGGAGCAUAAUUGUUAUGCUAGUAUUGCAUGUUGACCAUACUAUUUGUAAGAAACAAAGUUUUUCAAUCUGCUAAUUGCAAACUUUCGAAAUUGUUCGCUAUAGUAGAACUACGGGAGAGGGCACUCAUACUUUGUUUUAAAUCUAAAGGAUUAGAUCGUAUAGUUUAAUAGAACUUAGUCAUAGACAUAUGUGAAUAUCAUAUUAAAAUGGUUCAACAUUGGAAAUUCCAUAUAUGAAAAUAUUAUGGCAAGAGAUUGAACAGAUAUCAGAUAUAAUGAAUCGAGUCCUAUAUGCUUCGGAUAUAGGAUCGAUUAUAUAUGUUGUAAUAUUCACUUAUUCUAAUUUUUCAAAAUGCCUUGAGCAUUGACAGGAAAAGGAUUAGAACAUUUUAUGUGACUAGAGUUGUUAAACACCUGUUAAGCACAUUCUAUCGUUUACUGAAGAUUGGUUGCUUGUGGAAAUUUGGAAGUAUGGUAUUAAUUUGGACGGACCAUAGUGACAUGAUUCUGGAUUGAGAUGAUUCUUGAUAAGAAUUGAUGGUCAUAUGGGAAUAUAGAAAUGUUUCCAUAAUGGGAGUUGAUUAUUAAUUCUACAUGUGAGUUGGAAAUUUUAAUGCAAGAGAAGUGUUCAAGAAGUGUACCUUGAAUUCGAACCUUCAUUAUCAUGGAAUUUUUCUUGUAACAAAGUUCUAAUGGAACAUUCUGUAAUAUCGUUGGCUCGGUCUCAAUUUGAAGCCUUGGCAUCAUAAAAGGUCAAUGCAUGUAAGGUUGGAAUUACAAUACAUUUUGGAUGGUGACAAGCAUUUGGAAUUGUGAAAUGAGCAUCAUUGGAAUAGUGUACAGUCGAUAUGUUCACAAAGGAAGGACUAGAGAGAAGCAUUGUAUGCAUGUUCCUAACAUGGAAUAACUAAUGUUAUUUAAUUCAAGUGGUUAGUUGAUUACUCGAAACAUUAUAUAAUGAAUAAAGUCGUAAUUAUUAUGGUGAUUAAGUAAUAGAGAUUAUUUAUAUUCAAUAGGGUUGAGACCGUUAUUAGUUAGCUUAUUAUUGUGUUUCACUUUGCACAUUUUCUUCCUGAUUAAUUUGUUUAUUCGAAUUCCACAGCCACUCAUACAAUUGGAAGUAAAUAGUGAAUUAAGACUGUCAUGAAUUGAAUUGUAGAUUAUCUAUUGGGAUUAGACAUUGCAAUAAGAUUGGUACAAUGUUCAUAAGUACUUAGAAAAUGGGGACUGUAAGUAUUUGCUAAAUGCACGCUUAGAGAAUUACUUCAUGGAUCAUAUAAAAUGGGGACUGUAAGUAUUUGCUAAAUGCACGCUUAGAGAAUUACUUCAUGGAUCAUAUCACAAGUAAUUCUGACUGGUAAUAUCAUAUAUUCUUAAAAUAGAGAUAUAUGAGUUGUAAUUUUUCAAGUCGGUUGUGCAUUGUUAUUGCGAAAAUACAUCAGUAACAUGAUGUUAUAAAAUGUAGUAUCAUGCACGAUUUGGUGAGUAAAAGAUACACGCAUAUAAGUGUUGGAUUAGUGUCUAAGUCCAUAACUAUUUUGGUAUGUACUUCACCCGAUGGUGCAUGGUCCUUUUGGGUUGCCUUCACCAAAGCAACUUGAUAGGAUGAAUUAUGGAGAGAAAAGAUUAAUUAUGAUUUAUUAAUAUAUUAUGAGAAUAAUAUAUUAAAGGAGAAAUCAUAUUGUUUAAUUAAUAUUAGUCAAGAAUUAAUAAGAAUUAAGUUUGUGGCUAAAAGACAUUAAUUAAACUUAAGGGACUAGAACUGUCAAUUGUGUGAUAGUUGAAUAUUGGGCUAAUGGACUCCAUAUUAGAGGGGUGGACGAAUUCUAUGGGGAAACCUAUUAGAAAUCGUCCUAGGCCUCUAAGGAGGGAGUCCAUGGGUUGCUUAGGGCUUAAGCAUCCAAAUUAGGGUUUCCUUGUUAGAUAACCCUAAUAGCCUCACUAUUUAAAGAACCCUUAAGACUCAAAAACGUGGUGAACUUGUUCUGUAGGGUUUCCACACAUUUUGGGCAGCCUCCCCUCUCCUUAUUCUUCAUCCUCUUGCUCUUGGUGUUUGUGAACCAUUAGAGGAGUGACAAUUGUGACUCUAAGCUUUCUAAAGUCAUUACAAGGAGGAUUUGAGAUUGUUAUUGCUACAUAACAAUCAAGGUAAGAUCUAAACCCCAUUCAUAAGUUAAUUUGAUUAAUUGUAUGCUAGAUCUAGGGUUUAAAGUCUUGGAUGAAUUGCAUGUACAAUAGAGAAACCUAGAUCCAAGCAUUAGGGUUUGUAUGAGCACAUAGGAUGUUCUUAUGGCUAAAACCCAUCAGUGGUAUCAGAGCCUUGAUUGGUUUCUAUUGUAUUGAUGCCUUGUAUGUUUGUUCAAGUUGCAAAAUCGAUUUUUGAGCUCCCUGCCUGAUGAACUCGGCGAGUACCACAGUGUACUCGGCGAGUAGGCCUCAACUCGGCGAGUCCAGUGUGGUACUCGGCGAGUUCGAGCGUCAGAUGGAGCUAUUUUCGGGAUUUCUUGCUGUUUUACUCAUGGAUACUUGCCUUAUCUGUUCUAGAUCAUUAAAAUCCGAUUUUAUACAUAUUUAUGAGUAUAUCCUUGAUUAAACAAAAGAUAAUUACCAAUUGAUUAGAUAAUAACUUCCUUAUAUGAUUAAAGUUUGAUUAUUUGUAUUAAUUGGGUAACUUAUCUUGCAAGAAAUUGAUUUUAGGUCAAAUUUAGAUAAUCAUUAAAUUAAUUGUUUAAUUUAAAUUAUUUUCUAUUUGAUCCUUUGUGUUUUGAAAAGUUUCAAACUUGCCCUCAAGUUUUGGAAUUUAAAAGUUGAUUAAAUGUUUAAUUUAGAAAUGUUAAAUUCUAAAACCCUAGUAUUGUUUUGAAAAGUUCAAUUCUCACCCUUAUGGUUUUAUUAAUUAAUUAAAGUGUAUAAUUAAAGGAGGUUUAAUAAAUCCAUAAAGUUUUGGCUCACAAUUUAAUUAAAUUAAAAGUAUAAUUGUUAAAUUUGACCA